rnacentral:rRNA from 1 species
GAUGAACGCUGGCGGCGUGCCUAACACAUGCAAGUCGAGCGAACAGACGAGGAGCUUGCUCCUCUCACGUUUGCGGCGGACGGGUGAGUAACAUGUGGAUACCCUACCUAUAAGACUGGGAUAACUACGGGAAUCCGGCGCUUAUACCGGAUAAUAUAUUGAACCGCAUGGUUCAAUAGUGAAAGUCGGUGUUGCUGUCACUUAUAGAUGGAUCCGCGCCGCAUUAGCUAGUUGGUAAGGUAACGGCUUACCAAGGCAACGAUGCGUAGCCGACCUGAGAGGGGGGUAGGCGACACGUGAGCUUAAACACGGACCAGACUCCUACGGGAGGCAGCAGUAGGGAAUGUUCGGCAGUGGGCGGAAACAUGGCGGAGCAACGCCGAGUGAGUGAUAGCAGUCCUCGGAUCGUAAAGCUCUGUUAGUGGGGAAGAACAGAUGUGUAAGUAACUGUACACGGCUUGACGGUACCUGAUAAGAAAGCAACGGCUAACUACGUG